rnacentral:rRNA from 1 species
AUUGAACGCUGGCGGCAGGCCUAACACAUGCAAGUCGAGCGAGCGGCGGACGGGUGAGUAAUGUCUGGGAAACUGCCUGAUGGAGGGGGAUAACUACUGUAAACGGUAGCUAAUACAGCAUACCAUCAGAUGUGCCCAGAUGGGAUUAGCUGGUAGGUGGGGUAACGGCUCACCUAGGCGACGAUCCCUAGCGGGUCUGAGAGGAUGACCAGCACAAUUGGAACGAGAAACCGGUCCAGACUCCAACGGGAGGCAGCAGUGGGGAAUAUUGGAAAAUGGGCGAACGCCGGAUGCAGCAAUGCCGGGGGGGUGAAGAAGGCCUUCGGGUUGUAAAGUCCUUUCAGCAGGGAGGCGUUACCCGCAGAAGAAGCACCGGCUAACUACGUGCCAGCAGCCGCGGUAAUUC